GACAAACUGGGGGAAGUCCUAUUAUCAAAAAGCUCUGAGCUAACGGCGUAUUACAUUUGAAUAUUGUGCAAUGUGAACUCCCGCCGAGCUGUUGAACUAAGAAAUGCUGGUGGCUGCACAGUACUCUGCAUGACACUUCACUAGAGGAAAUGUAAUGUGUAACUAUGGAAACCUUCAAACCACUGACUGCAAGUUCCUGGGGGAGAGAAAGGGAUGGAAUUAUACUGGCCUGCAGAUUCAUCACAGCUCACAAAUGCUAGGACAACUUUCCAGGGAAGACUGUUUUACUGGUGACUUUUGUUUAUUUUUAAAUUAACAUAAAAUGGCUGCACAUGUCUGAACCCUGCUUCAGUUCAAAGCUUAGGUUGGUGACUACAAAUGAAUCAUGAGCGGUCAAAUCCUGCCUCCGCUCCUGCAUAAGAACCUCCAUUGGAGCACACCACAUCCUCUUUUAUGGAGGGUGCUCUUUCCAGACCUGCAAGAGGGUGCUUCUGAGACUGCAGCAUAAGCUGGAACUGAGCAAGCCACCAGAAGGCUGUGGGACAUUUUCAUGAUGGAAAACGCAGCAGGUACUACAGUGCUCAGUGUGGUGAUUACCUGGACAGAGAGAUUGAAAAUAGGGCCAAGUGACUUUGGUUUCUAUAGUUUGGCUCCCUUUCUUUGAAUCAGAAAAAACAGCUAAAAGAG